rnacentral:tRNA from 1 species
UCCCUGGUGGCUUAGAUGGUGAAGAAUCUGCCUGCAAAGCAGUAGACCUGGGUUCAAUUCCUGGAUCGGGAA